GACGAACGCUGGCGGCGUGCCUAAUACAUGCAAGUCGAACGCACUCUCGUUUAGAUUGAAGGAGCUUGCUCCUGAUUGAUAAACAUUUGAGUGAGUGGCGGACGGGUGAGUAACACGUGGGUAACCUGCCCUAAAGUGGGGGAUAACAUUUGGAAACAGAUGCUAAUACCGCAUAAAACCUAACACCGCAUGGUGUAGGGUUGAAAGAUGGUUUCGGCUAUCACUUUGGGAUGGACCCGCGGUGCAUUAGUUAGUUGGUGAGGUAAAGGCUCACCAAGACCGUGAUGCAUAGCCGACCUAAGAGGGUAAUCGGCCACACUGGGACUGAGACACGGCCCAGACUCCUACGGGAGGCAGCAGUAGGGAAUCUUCCACAAUGGACGAAAGUCUGAUGGAGCAACGCCGCGUGAGUGAAGAAGGUUUCGGAUCGUAAAACUCUGUUGUUGGAGAAGAAUGUAUCUGAUAGUAACUGAUCAGGUAGUGACGGUAUCCAACCAGAAAGCCACGG
rnacentral:rRNA from 1 species